UACGAAGGGUGCAAGCGUUGCUCGGAAUGACUGGGCGUAAAGGGCGCGUAGGCGGUUUGAUUAGUUAGGCGUGAAAUUCCCGGGCUCAACCUGGGAACUGCGUUUAAUACAGUUAGACUUGAGUUCGGAAGAGGGUCGUGGAAUUCCCAGUGUAGAGGUGAAAUUCGUAGAUAUUGGGAAGAACACCAGUGGCGAAGGCGGCUCACUGGUCCAUUACUGACGCUGAGGUGCGAAAGCGUGGGGAGCAAACAGG
rnacentral:rRNA from 1 species